rnacentral:rRNA from 1 species
UAUCCAGACUCCUACGGGAGGCAGCAGUGGGGAAUAUUGCACAAUGGGGGGAACCCUGAUGCAGCGACGCCGCGUGGGUGAAGGAGCGCCUCGGUGCGUAAAGCCCUAUCGGCAGGGAAGAAACAGACGGUACCUGACUAAGAAGCCCCGGCCAACUACGUGCCAGCAGCCGCGGUAAUACGUAGGGGGCAAGCGUUAUCCGGAUUCACUGGGUGUAAAGGGAGCGUAGACGGCGACGCAAGUCUGGAGUGAAAGCCCGGGGCCCAACCCCGGGACUGCUCUGGAAACUGCGGCGCUGGAGUACGGGAGGGGCAGGCGGAAUUCCUGGUGUAGCGGUGAAAUGCGUAGAUAUCAGGAGGAACACCGGCGGCGAAGGCGGCCUGCUGGACCGUGACUGACGUUGAGGCUCGAGAGCGUGGGGAGCAAACAGGAUUAGAUACCCCUGUAA